AUGAUCUGGACACCCCAGGAUGGUGUAUGGAAACUGGGGGACAUGGAGGAUCCGAGGUCCUCAUCCCCCCUGGAGCCCGCAAGUCCUGCUCCUUUGCCCCCUGGGGCCUGGGAACCCCACUGCCUUGAUGACUCCCAAACAAAGCUCAACAUGCCUGGCUUGAACCUGGAGCACCGUGCCCACCUUCUCCUGACCCAGCUGGAUGACCAGGAGCCCAGUGAGGCAGAGCCCAAGGGUGAGGAGGCGAGGGACGGGUGCAUCUCCAGUGCCAUCUCCAGAGUGGCGCUGGCUCCAGCACCAGCUCCCGUACAAUGUCGAGAGCUGUAUUCAGCUGCAGACCUGCAGAAGCAAAGCUUCUCGAGAGUUAGAGGCAUUUCCGUCUUUAGAUUUGGCCCCACCUCCAGGAGCAGGUCCACAGCUAGAGCUAAGUGCACAGCCGGUCCGAGCAGAAACUCUGGUGCUAGGGCCAGCCUGCAUCUCUUACCACCUGUGGGGCUGGAGCUACUCCUGGCAUCCCUCAGUGCCAGCUCCUGA
rnacentral:lncRNA from 1 species